UCCAGAGAAUUUAGCAGAGAUGCUUUAGUGCCUUCGGGAACUCUGAGACAGGUGCUGCAUGGCUGUCGUCAGCUCGUGUUGUGAAAUAGUUGGGUUAAGUCCCGCAACGAGCGCAACCCUUAUCCUUUGUUGCCAGCACGUAAUGGUGGGAACUCAAAGGAGACUGCCGGUGAUAAACCGGAGGAAGGUGGGGAUGACGUCAAGUCAUCAUGGCCCUUACGAGUAGGGCUACACACGUGCUACAAUGGCGCAUACAAAGAGAAGCGACCUCGCGAGAGCAAGCGGACCUCAUAAAGUGCGUCGUAGUCCGGAUUGGAGUCUGCAACUCGACUCCAUGAAGUCGGAAUCGCUAGUAAUCGUAAAUCAGAAUGUUACGGUGAAUACGUUCCCGGGCCUUGUACACACCGCCCGUCACACCAUGGGAGUGGGUUGCAAAAGAAGUAGAUAGCUUAACCUUCGGGAGGGCGUUUACCACUUUGUGAUUCAUGACUGGGGUGAAGUCGUAACAAGGUAAGCGUAGUGCU
rnacentral:rRNA from 1 species